GAUGAAGAACGUAGCAAAAUGCGAUAAGUAAUGUGAAUUGCAGAAUUCAGUGAAUCAUCGAAUCUUUGAACGCACAUUGCGCCCGCCAGUAUUCUGGCGGGCAUGCCUGUUCGAGCGUCAUUUCAACCCUCAAGCACAGCUUGGUGUUGGGACUCGCGUUAAUUCGCGUUCCCCAAAUUGAUUGGCGGUCACUUCGAGCUUCCAUAGCGUAGUAGUAAAACCCUCGUUACUGGUAAUCGUCGCGGCCACGCCGUUAAACCCCAACUUCUGAAUGUUGACCUCGGAUCAGGUAGGAAUACCCGCUGAACUUAAGCAUAUCAAUAAGCGGAGGA
rnacentral:misc_RNA from 1 species